rnacentral:lncRNA from 1 species
CUUCCUGUGACAAUCUCUCUCCUUAAUCCACAAAUAACUUAAAAAAUUACCAGUGACAUCUAAGUCCAAAAUACAUAGUAAGAGAAGUAAAAAUAAUGUUAUCAAUAGAAUAAUGCCAUGAAACACAUUGUGCAAAUACAGUUAGACCCAUCUUGGGGUAGUGGGGUGGGGGGAGGAAGUGGGAGAACCUGUGGCCUCAAGGCCACACAUGGCCCUCUAAGUCCUUAAGUGUGGCCCUUUGACUGAAUCCAAACUUCACAGAACAAAUCCUCUUAAUAAAAGUUUUUGUUUUGUAAAACUCAGAUUCAUUCAAAAGGCCAUACCCAAGGACCUUGAAGGCCACAUGUGGCCUCAAAGCUACAUAUUUUCGACCCCUGCAUUGGACAAAUGAGCAAACCAGGGUACCAAACAGUUAAACAACUUGCCAAAAGUCACAGAGUGAGUUACUAUCAGAGCCAGACUAGAACUCAAAUUUCCUAACUCCUAGUCUCAUGAGCUUAUUGCUUUACUAUGAAGAUAAUGCAUGAAGCAGGUAGGAUUGGAGUAAAGAUAUACUGUAUCUUUGAAGUCUCAGUUUCCUCACUAGUAUAACGAGGGAUUUGGACUAUGGUCCUUCCAAGUGUAAAAAUACAAUGAGCCUAUGUGACCAGGGACGUCUUUUUUCAACUCUCAUCUAAACUCUUUUCCACAGGUUAGUGGAAAGUGGUUCACUAUUGCAUUGGCCUCAAAUGUGACAUCUAAGAUUGAAGAAGGAGGUAGCUUGCAGGUGUUUGUCAAAAAUCUUAGUGAACACAAUGGUAAUCUUUAUGGAGACUUCUUCAAAAGAAAAUGGCAAAUGCAUUCCAUUUUCUGUGACUGCGANNNNNNNNNNUUCCAUUUCUAACAUUUUGUGACUCUAGAGGCAGAUAAGAGGAAUGUUGAAAAAAGUAUAGGUCUGCAAAACAGAACUGCAGUUUGGAAGGAAUGGCAGAGAUUAUGAUGGAAUUGAGGCUUGGGAAAGGCCUUUGCAUGAAGUUUAAAGUUUCAAUAUUCUAACCUGAACUUUUGAUGGUUUCACAGAUGAUGGAGACAAUUAUUUCUCCAUUCAAAGUAUCGACUCUGAACAUGUGAUAUUUAUCUUGCAUAAUAUCAAGGAUGGGGAGGUGACUGUUUGGGGAGAAUUCUAUGGUAUGUAUCUUAUGAUCCUGCACAAAUACUCUUCCCCUUCUCUCUUUCAUGGUAAGUGUACUAAAGGAAAAUAAGUUGUAGCAUUGUAGCAUUGGGGGUAGCUCAAGCUCUGUUUGACUACAAUUUACAUGCAUAAGAUCAGGGUGAAAAUAAAAGCUUCCCAGUAUGGCA